GUCCACGCCGUAACGGUGGGUACUAGGUGUGGGUUUCCUUCCUUGGGAUCCGUGCCGUAGCUAACGCAUUAAGUACCCGCCUGGGGAGUACGGCCGCAAGGCUAAACUCAAAGGAAUUGACGGGGCCCGCACAAGCGGCGGAGCAUGUGGAUUAAUUCGAUGCAACGCGAAGAACCUUACCUGGGUUUGACAUGCACAGGACGCCGGCAGAGAUGUCGGUUCCCUUGUGGUCUGUGUGCAGGUGGUGCAUGGCUGUCGU
rnacentral:rRNA from 1 species